UGGGGAAUCUUGGACAAUGGGGGCAACCCUGAUCCAGCCAUGCCGCGUGAGUGAUGAAGGCCUUAGGGUCGUAAAGCUCUUUCGCCUGUGAAGAUAAUGACGGUAGCAGGUAAAGAAACCCCGGCUAACUCCGUGCCAGCAGCCGCGGUAAUACGGAGGGGGUUAGCGUUGUUCGGAAUUACUGGGCGUAAAGCGCACGUAGGCGGACCAGAAAGUUGGGGGUGAAAUCCCGGGGGCUCAACCCCGGAACUGCCUCCAAAACUAUUGGUCUAGAGUUCGAGAGAGGUGAGUGGAAUUCCAAGUGUAGAGGUGAAAUUCGUAGAUAUUUGGAGGAACACCAGUGGCGAAGGCGGCUCACUGGCUCGAUACUGACGCUGAGGUGCGAAAGUGUGGGGAGCAAACAGGAUUAGAUACCCUGGUAGUCCACGCCGUAAAACGAUGAAUGCCAGUCGUCGGGUAGCAUGCUAUUCGGUGACACACCUAACGGAUUAAGCAUUCCGGCCUGGGGAGUACGGUCGCAAGAUUAAAA
rnacentral:rRNA from 1 species